GUUCGGAUUGUAGUCCGCAACCGACUACAUGAAGCUGGAAUCGCUAGUAAUCGCGAAUCAGAAUGUCGCGGUGAAUACGUUCCCGGGCCUUGUACACACCGCCCGUCACACCAUGGGAGCCGGUAAUACCCGAAGUCAGUAGUCCAACCACGUGAGGACGCUGCCGAAGGUAGGAUUGGCGACUGGGGUGAAGUCGUAACAAGGUAAC
rnacentral:rRNA from 1 species